UGGAAACAGAGGCUCUGUGACAUCUCCAGUGAGCUUAUUAUCUUCUGAUCAGCUUAAUUUUAGGAGGUAACUGGUCCAAGACCCUAACACUCUGGGAGUGUUAGAACCAUGUAACCUCAGUAUGCCAGGAUAAUCCUGAGCUCAUCCAUUGCCAGGUCAUGAAUACACCCUUGCUACUUGAAGUGUAAUCUAUGGAUCAGCAGCAGGAGUGUCACCUGGGAACUUCUCAGAAAUGCAGAAUCUCCUGCUCUGUACCUACCAAUGCAGAACCUGCAUUUUAAAAAGGCUCACAGAUAUGGAGGAAAAAUGUGGACAACUAAAGGUGAAUCCAUUCCAGAGACAGAGAGUUUCUCUUCUCAGGCUCUCUCUCAAUCCCUCACCUUCCCUGUCUCUUAUGUUUGAAGAAGGUGACUUUGGAAAGCUGGUUAUGAAACCUCGUUUCCCACCAUGAAGUCAUAGGUACUAACCAAAGAAGAGAUAUUGGUGCAAUAAAGAUUAUUCUCCAGGGCUGAUGUUCUAUGAGGAAGCUUGAAGAGUUGAGAUCCAUAGGAGGAAAUGUAGAUGGUAUAAAGGAGAACUGAUUUGAAGAAAGAGCACAAAACCAAGAAGGAGGAACUCCUGUCCCACUUAAUAAUCUACUUAUGUGAUGAGUUUAUACCACCUGUGCUAUUGGAAGGACACUGACGAGGUCCCCAGAACAACACAUGCUGCACCAACACACAACCUUGUGUCUUAAAUGAGCUCAGGGAAACAAGCAACUUUCCAAAACAUUUAUAGGAAAUACAAGAUAUAACAAGUGCGUUUGUGUAUGUGUGUAUUUUAUGUGUGUUAUUUUGUCCUUGAGGGAUUAGGUAUGUGUUCAGUAUAUUGAUUCUGAACUUAGUUUUGGGGAUAGGAUGUAUCACCCAAAUUAUUUCCAGAUUUUCUGAUGAAGGUUUUUCAGUGGCUGCUUCAGUCAGCAGCAUGUGGACUCCAGACCAAAGUCCCACUAUGUUGACUCAGCUUCAGUUCCUGAAGCAAGACUCCUCAUUUCACUCUGAGGGAAGAAUUAGAAAUAAAG
rnacentral:lncRNA from 1 species